rnacentral:rRNA from 1 species
AAAUUGAAGAGUUUGAUCAUGGCUCAGAUUGAACGCUGGCGGCAGGCCUAACACAUGCAAGUCGAACGGUAACAGGAAGCAGCUUGCUGUUUCGCUGACGAGUGGCGGACGGGUGAGUAAUGUCUGGGAAACUGCCUGAUGGAGGGGGAUAACUACUGGAAACGGUAGCUAAUACCGCAUAACGUCGCA